UUUAUGGAGAGUUUGAUCCUGGCUCAGGACGAACGCUGGCGGCGUGCCUAAUACAUGCAAGUCGAGCGGACGUUUUUGAAGCUUGCUUCAAAAACGUUAGCGGCGGACGGGUGAGUAACACGUGGGCAACCUGCCUUAUCGACUGGGAUAACUCCGGGAAACCGGGGCUAAUACCGGAUAACAUCUAGCACUUCCUGGUGCAAGAUUAAAAGAGGGCCUUCGGGCUCUCACGAUGAGAUGGGCCCGCGGCGCAUUAGCUAGUUGGAGAGGUAAUGGCUCCCCAAGGCGACGAUGCGUAGCCGACCUGAGAGGGUGAUCGGCCACACUGGGACUGAGACACGGCCCAGACUCCUACGGGAGGCAGCAGUAGGGAAUCUUCCGCAAUGGACGAAAGUCUGACGGAGCAACGCCGCGUGAGUGAUGAAGGGUUUCGGCUCGUAAAGCUCUGUUAUGAGGGAAGAACACGUACCGUUCGAAUAGGGCGGUACCUUGACGGUACCUCAUCAGAAAGCCACGGCUAACUACGUGCCAGCAGCCGCGGUAAUACGUAGGUGGCAAGCGUUGUCCGGAAUUAUUGGGCGUAAAGCGCGCGCAGGCGGCCUUUUAAGUCUGAUGUGAAAUCUUGCGGCUCAACCGCAAGCGGUCAUUGGAAACUGGAGGGCUUGAGUACAGAAGAGGAGAGUGGAAUUCCACGUGUAGCGGUGAAAUGCGUAGAUAUGUGGAGGAACACCAGUGGCGAAGGCGACUCUCUGGUCUGUAACUGACGCUGAGGCGCGAAAGCGUGGGGAGCAAACAGGAUUAGAUACCCUGGUAGUCCACGCCGUAAACGAUGAGUGCUAGGUGUUAGGGGUUUCGAUGCCCGUAGUGCCGAAGUUAACACAUUAAGCACUCCGCCUGGGGAGUACGGCCGCAAGGCUGAAACUCAAAGGAAUUGACGGGGGCCCGCACAAGCAGUGGAGCAUGUGGUUUAAUUCGAAGCAACGCGAAGAACCUUACCAGGUCUUGACAUCCUUUGACCACUCUGGAGACAGAGCUUCCCCUUCGGGGGCAAAGUGACAGGUGGUGCAUGGUUGUCGUCAGCUCGUGUCGUGAGAUGUUGGGUUAAGUCCCGCAACGAGCGCAACCCUUGACCUUAGUUGCCAGCAUU
rnacentral:rRNA from 1 species